AUUUAUUUCAUCCACAGCCGCUCCUCCUUCUUUCUCUCUCUAGUGAUUUUCAAUUUAGGGUUUCACGAGAUCUGUGGUAUGAGAUCUCACCAGAUCCAACAAUGGUGUGGUCUGUAAAAGUGGUCGAGUACGCUUCAAGAUCAGUCGAUUCGACCAGAGGUUGAACUGGAUAAUGUUGACCCAUUUUCUUCUCUUCCUGAUCGAAUAUGACCUUUUUUUCUCGAAACCCUACUCAUUCAUUCAGAUUCCCAUCUCCCUGCUUUCUCUCUCAAAUGAGAUCUAGGGUUUCUACAUGUGAUUCAAGAUUUUGCUUUCACUGCUUUCUCUCUCAAACGAGAUCUAGGGUUUCUACAUGCGAUACCAGAUCUGGCUUUCACAGUUCGGUUCGACACUUCCAUGGAACCAAAAACUCCGAGCCGAGAGCGUUGCAGAUCUACAAGUUGGAGGCGGUUUUUGGUAGUUGGUACUAAAGAUGUUCGGGUGGUUAAACACUUCUCAAUCACCCGGUUGGAAACACAAGAAUCAUCAAGGAAGGGUUACAAAUUAGGGUCUGGAUGUUAUUCAGACUUAUGUUUUCUGGAAUGGGCAUGAACCACAACCUGGUAAAUAUUAUUUUGAAGACAGGUAUGAUCUGGUUAAGUUCAUUAACCUAAUUAAGGAAGCUGGACUAUGUGUUCAUCUCAGAAUAGGCCCAUAUGCUUGUGCUGAAUGGAACUUUGGGGUAUUUCUUGUGUGGUUGAAAUAUAUGCCAGGAAUAAGUUUUAGAACAGAAUGCUCCUUUCAAGGCUGCAAUGGAAAAUUUUACAAGGCACAUAGUGAAUAUGAUGAAAUCAGAACGCUUGUAUGAGAAUUAGGGCGGUCCGAUUAUUUUAUCUCAGAUCAACACUGGCAAUGGUUUUUACUGUGACUACUUCCCUCCUAACAGUGAUUCCAAACCGAAAAUGUGGCCUGAAGCGUGGUCUGGAUGGUAACGUGAUAUUUUACGCAGACCGGUCUCCGUCUUCAAAAGGUUACUCACAGUCUUGCUCAGGUUGGGCCUUGUUGCAACAAUAAAGGAGCGUGCUAAUGAGAUAUUUAAGAAGGUCAAAGACCAGAAGUCAAGUAGGGGAAGAAACCAAGACGCCAUAUAGGCGGCCUGUCCUUACACCGCUUGCCGUCAAGAAGACAAGCCACACACUGUAAAGGGUAUAAACAAUCCACAUUAGUUUAAUCGGAUGCUUACUGGUCUCUGUUUAUAUGAACUGGAUUUUCAUUGUCUUGAACCAGUGUUCAAAUAGAAAUCUGUUCGGUUGCCAACAGAGCCACCAAGAAAGAAAUUGGACGUGCAAAAGAAUACAUUGCUAAUUAAACUGAACUUUUAGGUACUGAAGACAUUAAUAGGUGAUGAAGUGAUAUCUUGUGCGGGGAUUCAACGAGGUAU